rnacentral:rRNA from 1 species
GCAGUCGAGCGGUAGAGAGGUGCUUGCACCUCUUGAGAGCGGCGGACGGGCGAGUAAAGCCUAGGAAUCUGCCUGGUAGUGGGGGAUAACGCUCGGAAACGGACGCUAAUACCGCAUACGUCCUACGGGAGAAAGCAGGGGACCUUCGGGCCUUGCGCUAUCAGAUGAGCCUAGGUCGGAUUAGCUAGUUGGUGAGGUAAUGGCUCACCAAGGCGACGAUCCGUAACUGGUCUGAGAGGAUGAUCAGUCACACUGGAACUGAGACACGGUCCAGACUCCUACGGGAGGCAGCAGUGGGGAAUAUUGGACAAUGGGCGAAAGCCUGAUCCAGCCAUGCCGCGUGUGUGAAGAAGGUCUUCGGAUUGUAAAGCACUUUAAGUUGGGAGGAAGGGCAUUAACCUAAUACGUUAGUGUUUUGACGUUACCGACAGAAUAAGCACCGGCUAACUCUGUGCCAGCAGCCGCGGUAAUACAGAGGGUGCAAGCGUUAAUCGGAAUUACUGGGCGUAAAGCGCGCGUAGGUGGUUCGUUAAGUUGGAUGUGAAAUCCCCGGGCUCAACCUGGGAACUGCAUUCAAAACUGUCGAGCUAGAGUAUGGUAGAGGGUGGUGGAAUUUCCUGUGUAGCGGU